UUACUGUGUUCCUUCCCAGCCGGAAUGUGUGGUCUGGGUACAAUACCGAAACGGUCCCCAAGCAGGCGUCCUCACUCUUCAGCUCUCUAAUUGUUCCUGUUAAGCAGAUAGAAAUAAUGAAACUGCAGAUGCCUGUGCGACGUCCCAACAGCUGAUGAAUCUAUGCGUUGGAAUCCAGAGGUCCAAAUUCGGAUGUUAAAAAAUCAACCAUAGAUCCGGCCUGUCUAGAGGGUGGAUCAUUGGAGACAGGUGUCUGUGCUCCUGGGCAGCGUUCCAUUUCAGGACACAGGCUUCUGGAUUUGACAGCGCCUGGAGGUUCUAGAAAAGGAAGGAAGGAGAUAAGGGCCAUCUUGGGAGCCUUAUUAAUAUGUACAUACACAUGUUGAGCUUGGUAUGUCCAUAGCGGUUUCCUCGUGAAGGUUAAAACAAGUCAAUCCACCCAUCUGAUGGAUGUAUUUCAUUUAUCCUCAUCUUCAUCGUCAAUAGUGUUUAUGGCUGCUGAGGAAUAGAAAUCAACAGACAGUUUGCUGUGAAUGUGAAAAGGCUUGCCCUCUAUUUGCCUGGAUUUUUUUUUUUUUUUUUUUUUUUUUAAAGCACGGGAAAAGAAGCCCAAGCUAAUUGGGGAAGAUGUGUGGCUAAUAUUGUUACCGAGUUAUUUGACUCCAUUUUAGAGGGUGGAUCAGCGUUUCAAGAGACAAAUGAAAAGUCGGUUUUCUUUCUGCAGAAAUAUUGGAAGUUCCCAUUUCUACUGAUGCUGUUCAUCUCGAUUCUUUCCAAUUUGGGGGGUAAAGACAUAAAGUAAAACACAACAGCUCAGAAGGGAAAGAUAACAUUGCAGAAUCUCGAAGAGAGCCUCACCUCAGCUAAGAGAUAAGUCUUGAGAAUUGUUCAGAGAAUUUUAAGCAAG
rnacentral:lncRNA from 1 species